CCUACGGGAGGCAGCAGUGGGGAAUAUUGGACAAUGGGCGAAAGCCUGAUCCAGCAAUGCCGCGUGAGUGAAGAAGGCCUUCGGGUUGUAAAGCUCUUUUACCCGGGAAGAUAAUGACUGUACCGGGAGAAUAAGCUCCGGCUAACUCCGUGCCAGCAGCCGCGGUAAUACGGAGGGAGCUAGCGUUGUUCGGAAUUACUGGGCGUAAAGCGUACGUAGGCGGCUUGGUAAGUCAGAGGUGAAAGCCCACGACUCAAUCGUGGAACUGCCUUUGAGACUGCUUCGCUUGAAGAUGGGAGAGGUUAGUGGAAUUCCGAGUGUAGAGGUGAAAUUCGUAGAUAUUCGGAAGAACACCAGUGGCGAAGGCGGCUAACUGGACCAUUCUUGACGCUGAGGUACGAAAGCGUGGGAGCAAACAGGAUUAGAUACCCUGGUAGUCCACGCCGUAAACGAUGAUAACUAGCUGUCGGGUCUCGUUGGAGCGUCGGUGGUCGCGACGCUACGCGAUAAGUUAUACCGUCCGUCGGGUAGGUACGGUCCGCGACGGUUAAACGUUAAACGUAGUAAGUUAGUACGGCGUGAGACGUGCCGACGACGACGACGAGGGAGUA
rnacentral:rRNA from 1 species